UACGUAGGGGGCAAGCGUUGUCCGGAAUUAUUGGGCGUAAAGAGCGUGUAGGCGGCCAGAUAAGUCCGCUGUGAAAUCUCGAGGCUCAACUUCGAGCUGUCGGUGGAAACUAUCUGGCUAGAGUCCGGAAGAGGAGAAUGGAAUUCCUGGUGUAGCGGUGAAAUGCGCAGAUAUCAGGAAGAACACCCGUGGCGAAGGCGGUUCUCUGGGACGGUACUGACGCUGGAGACGCGAAAGCGUGGGAGCGAACAGG
rnacentral:rRNA from 1 species